CAAUAGCGUAUAUUAAAGUUGUUGCAGUUAAAAAGCUCGUAGUUGGAUUUUGAGUUUGGUAAAAUCGGUCUGCUUUCCGCAGUACUGACUUGCCUGCUCUUCUUCUCGAGGCCUAUGAGUGUACUUAACCGUGCGUUCAUAGUGUUCGGGACUUUUACCGUGAGAAAAUUAGAGUGUUCAUAGCAGGCUUUUGCUUGAAUAUUGCAGCAUGGAAUAAUGGAAUAGGAUCAUGAUCUUAUUUUGUUGGUUUCUAAGAUCAAGAUAAUGAUUAAUAGGGAUAGUUGGGGGCAUUAAUAUUUAGUUGUCAGAGGUGAAAUUCUUAGAUUUACAAAAGAUUAACUUCUGCGAAAGCAUUUGCCAAGGAUGUUUUCGUUA
rnacentral:rRNA from 1 species